rnacentral:rRNA from 1 species
ACCUACGGCCAUGCCACCCUGAACACGCCUGAUCCUGUCUGAUCUUGGAAGCUAAGCAGGGUCGGGCCCAGUUAGUACUUGGAUGGGAGACCACACAGGAAGACUGGGUGCUGUAGGUG